GGGGAAGCUUCACAAAGGAAGUGACAUUUGAAGCCAUGUGACACUGGGUGACAGUGCUUUCUCCAGCUCCAGCCUCAUGUUACUGAGGUCCUUCUUUUUGAUAGACCCUGUUGGGCCCUGAGGAACGAGGAAAGGACCAACUAAGUAUUCUCAGACACUGCCGUAUGUGCCCCAGGACGCAGACUUUCCUGGUUGUGAUCCCCAGCUGUCAAAAUGACACCAUAUAGACGUGGCAAAGUCUUGGCUAAGCAAAACCUCGGCUCCCUGCAGUUAAUAAAGGAACUUGGGAUUCUGGUUCUCGGGCAGUCUGAGCUACAGUAGGCCCUGCAUCCCUGGGAAGCUUACAGAAAUGCAGUAUCUUUGCCAGGCCCUCCGAAUCAGGACUCAUUGUAAUGGGACCUGCAGGCACUCAUCUGCACAGUAAGUUUGAGGUCUGCCUUAAACACUGACUCGGCUUUCCUGUCCCCAGAGUGAUGUCAAGGGCCAAGGACAGCGGUAUGGCUCAGAGAGGGUGCAGACCAGGCCCAAGACUUUAGGACUGGGCAGGUGGUGGAAUGCGGAUCAGAGCAGGAAGCGGAGGUGUAACAGCUGGGCAGGAGAGCCAGUCCGAGCCAGCGGCCAGUUCGUGUGUCCCUAGCUUGGGAGCCAUCUCUGGAAAACGCGGAGAGAGCUCUGCACACACCUGCAGUUGCUGGUCCCCUGCCGCUUGCUCUUCCCUCCGCCACGGCAUCUGACUGCCAUCCGGACAGCCUGGGUUACUGCUGUUGCUUCCACUGAGGGUUUGAGACACGAAGGGCCAGUAAGUAACGGGAGAAUGCGUCCCAUUGGGGUCAGGGGUGAGCACAGUCCUACAGCAGUGUCCUGCUGCCCCGCUCAGGGAGGGUC
rnacentral:lncRNA from 1 species